CCUACGGGAGGCAGCAGUGAGGAAUAUUGGUCAAUGGACGCAAGUCUGAACCAGCCAUGCCGCGUGCAGGAAGACGGCUCUAUGAGUUGUAAACUGCUUUUGUACGAGGGUAAACGCAGAUACGCGUAUCUGUCUGAAAGUAUCGUACGAAUAAGGAUCGGCUAACUCCGUGCCAGCAGCCGCGGUAAUACGGAGGAUUCAAGCGUUAUCCGGAUUUAUUGGGUUUAAAGGGUGCGUAGGCGGUUGGUUAAGUUAGAGGUGAAAACCCGAGGCUCAACUUCGGAAUUGCCUCUGAUACUGUUCGGCUAGAGAGUAGUUGAGGUAGGCGGAAUGUAUGGUGUAGCGGUGAAAUGCUUAGAGAUCAUACAGAACACCGAUUGCGAAGGCAGCUUACCAAGCUACUUCUGACGUUGAGGCACGAAAGCGUGGGGAGCAAACAGGAUUAGAUACCCUAGUAGUC
rnacentral:rRNA from 1 species